AGAGUUUGAUCCUGGCUCAGGACGAACGCUGGCGGCGUGCUUAACACAUGCAAGUCGAACGGGGCGCUUAUGAUGGAGAUUUCGGUCAACGGAUUAAGUUGCCUAGUGGCGGACGGGUGAGUAACGCGUGAGUAACCUGCCUUUCAGAGGGGGACAACAGUUGGAAACGACUGCUAAUACCGCAUAAUAUAUAUGGACCGCAUGAUCUGUAUAUCAAAGAUUUAUCGCUGAAAGAUGGCCUCGCGUCUGAUUAGCUAGUUGGUGAGGUAACGGCCCACCAAGGCGACGAUCAGUAGCCGGACUGAGAGGUUGAACGGCCACAUUGGGACUGAGAUACGGCCCAGACUCCUACGGGAGGCAGCAGUCGGGAAUAUUGCGCAAUGGAGGAAACUCUGACGCAGUGACGCCGCGUGCAGGAAGAAGGUUUUCGGAUUGUAAACUGCUUUAGACAGGGAAGAAUAAAGACAGUACCUGUAGAAUAAGCUCCGGCUAACUACGUGCCAGCAGCCGCGGUAAUACGUAGGGAGCAAGCGUUAUCCGGAUUUAUUGGGUGUAAAGGGUGCGUAGACGGGAAAUUAAGUUAGUUGUGAAAUCCCUCGGCUUAACUGAGGAACUGCAACUAAAACUGGUUUUCUUGAGUGUUGGAGAGGAAAGUGGAAUUCCUAGUGUAGCGGUGAAAUGCGUAGAUAUUAGGAGGAACACCAGUGGCGAAGGCGACUUUCUGGACAGUAACUGACGUUGAGGCACGAAAGUGUGGGGAGCAAACAGGAUUAGAUACCCUGGUAGUCCACACCGUAAACGAUGGAUACUAGGUGUAGGGUGUGAUAAACAUUCUGUGCCGUCGCAAACGCAAUAAGUAUCCCACCUGGGGAGUACGGCCGCAAGGUUGAAACUCAAAGGAAUUGACGGGGGCCCGCACAAGCAGUGGAGUAUGUGGUUUAAUUCGAAGCAACGCGAAGAACCUUACCUGGGCUUGACAUCCCUGGAAUCGAGUAGAGAUACUUGAGUGCCUUCGGGAAUCAGGUGACAGGUGGUGCAUGGUUGUCGUCAGCUCGUGUCGUGAGAUGUUGGGUUAAGUCCCGCAACGAGCGCAACCCCU
rnacentral:rRNA from 1 species